UACGUAGGGACCAAGCGUUGUCCGGAAUCAUUGGGCGUAAAGAGCUCGUAGGCGGUCUGUCGCGUCGGCUGUGAAAUCCCGAGGCUCAACCUCGGGUCUGCAGUCGAUACGGGCAAACUGGAGUGUUGCAGGGGAGACUGGAAUUCCUGGUGUAGCGGUGAAAUGCGCAGAUAUCAGGAGGAACACCGGUGGCGAAGGCGGGUCUCUGGGCAACAACUGACGCUGAGGAGCGAAAGCGUGGGGAGCGAACAGG
rnacentral:rRNA from 1 species